rnacentral:misc_RNA from 1 species
GUGUGAGUCAUCGAAUCUUUGAACGCACAUUGCGCCCGCCAGUAUUCUGGCGGGCAUGCCUGUUCGAGCGUCAUUUCAACCCUCAAGCCCUCGGGUUUGGUGUUGGGGAUCGGCGAGCCUUUCUGGCAAGCCGGCCCCGAAAUCUAGUGGCGGUCUCGCUGCAGCCUCCAUUGCGUAGUAGUAAAACCCUCGCAACUGGAACGCGGCGCGGCCAAGCCGUUAAACCCCCAACUUCUGAAUGUUGACCUCGGAUCAGGUAGGAAUACCCGCUGAACUUAAGCAUAUCAAUAAGCGGAGGAC